UACGAAGGGUGCAAGCGUUACUCGGAUUUAUUGGGCGUAAAGCGCGCGUAGGCGGAUUUUUAAGUCAGAUGUGAAAUCUCGGGGCUCAACCUCGAAACUGCGUCUGAAACUGAUAAUCUAGAAUGAUGGAGAGGGAAGGGGAAUUUCUCAUGUAGGGGUAAAAUCCGUAGAGAUGAGAAGGAACACCAGAGGCGAAGGCGCCUUCCUGGCCAUUUAUUGACGCUGUGGCGCGAAAGCGUGGGGAUCAAACAGG
rnacentral:rRNA from 1 species